AUUAUCACCCAAUCAAUAAACCUCCAUAAAAUUUCAAGAAAAACACACAAAAAGAAACCAUUGAUUUUGUCAUCUCUCAAGCUUGUGGGUUUUCCUUAUUUUCAACCAAAUGUCCUUUUUUCUCCCAUCGAAGAUAUGGAAGUGUUGGAGCCUUCAGCAAGUAAGGCGAAAGGCAAGGGAAAGCUAGUUUAUGCUUUCAGCAAUUAGGCGAAAGGCAAAAGUGUGAUUGAUAUUUAGCGUUUGCGGUGUGAGCGAUGCGGGGAUACCAAGAAAGAGAUCCAAGUUAGGCUUUAGUUUUUGUGUAGGUGAUAUUAUUAUUCUUUGAACUGUAAGAAUAAGGCAAUGUGGUAAACUUUUAGUUGACUAUUUCCAUGAUGUUUUGGAUGUUUACAUGACUUUAUUGCUCUUAGGAUUUAUGGAUAUCGAGCUUGGUAUAUUUAUUGCCUACUUGGACAUAA